rnacentral:rRNA from 1 species
UACGGGGAGAGCAAGCGUUGUUCGGAUUUACUGGGCGUAAAGGGUUCGUAGGUGGCCCGCUAAGUCACACGUGAAAUCCCUCAGCUUAACUGGGGAACUGCGUGUGAGACUGGCGGGCUUGAGUGCAGGAGAGGAACGCGGAAUUCCAGGUGUAGCGGUGAAAUGCGUAGAUAUCUGGAGGAACACCGGUGGCGAAGGCGGCGUUCUGGACUGUAUCUGACACUGAGGAACGAAAGCCAGGGGAGCAAACGGG